rnacentral:rRNA from 1 species
UAUAUUUUGUAAAAUAUUUAUGCUAGAAUAUUAAAACCAAUACCUUAAAACUCAAAAAACUUGGCGGCAAAUUUAAUUUUUCAGGGGAACCCUGCUUUUGAAUCGAUAAUCCACUUUAUACCUUACUUUUUAUUAUUGUUUGUUUACUGCCGUUCAGCUAAUGCUUUAAAUUAAUAAAAAUUACCUAAAAAAAUACUUUAUCUUUUAUAUCAGGUCAUUGUGCAGCGUAUAAAAAAUUUAAAGUGGGCUACAAUACCWAUAACUAUACAAAUUAAACCUUGAAAAAUUUCUAUGAAGGUGGACUUGAAAAUAAAUUUAACAAAAAAAAAUUAAAUUGAUUUUUCCUUAAAUGGUG